rnacentral:rRNA from 1 species
AGUGGAUCCUGAGUACGACGGAGCACGUGAAAUUCCGUCGGAAUCUGGGAGGACCAUCUCCUAAGGCUAAAUACUCUCUAGUGACCGAUAGUGAACCAGUACCGUGAGGGAAAGGUGAAAAGCACCCCGGAAGGGGAGUGAAAUAGAACCUGAAACCGUGUGCUUACAAGUAGUCAGAGCCCGUUAAUGGGUGAUGGCGUGCCUUUUGUAGAAUGAACCGGCGAGUUACGAUUUGAUGCAAGGUUAAGCAGUAAAUGUGGAGCCGUAGCGAAAGCGAGUCUGAAUAGGGCGUUUAGUAUUUGGUCGUAGACCCGAAACCAGGUGAUCUACCCUUGGUCAGGUUGAAGUUCAGGUAACACUGAAUGGAGGACCGAACCGACUUACGUUGAAAAGUGAGCGGAUGAACUGAGGGUAGCGGAGAAAUUCCAAUCGAACCUGGAGAUAGCUGGUUCUCUCCGAAAUAGCUUUAGGGCUAGCCUCAAGUGAUGAUUAUUGGAGGUAGAGCACUGUUUGGACGAGGGGCCCCUCUCGGGUUACCGAAUUCAGACAAACUCCGAAUGCCAAUUAAUUUAACUUGGGAGUCAGAACAUGGGUGAUAAGGUCCGUGUUCGAAAGGGAAACAGCCCAGACCACCAGCUAAGGUCCCAAAAUAUAUGUUAAGUGGAAAAGGAUGUGGCGUUGCCCAGACAACUAGGAUGUUGGCUUAGAAGCAGCCAUCAUUUAAAGAGUGCGUAAUAGCUCACUAGUCGAGUGACACUGCGCCGAAAAUGUACCGGGGCUAAACAUAUUACCGAAGCUGUGGAUUGUCCUUUGGACAAUGGUAGGAGAGCGUUCUAAGGGCGUUGAAGCAUGAUCGUAAGGACAUGUGGAGCGCUUAGAAGUGAGAAUGCCGGUGUGAGUAGCGAAAGACGGGUGA